GCAGACACAGGGCGCAGUGAAGGCGCGCCGUGGCCCCUGAAGCCUACAGGCCUGCGCCGGCUUCCCGGAUAGUUCCAGGGAAGCCGCCUCGGUGGGAACCCCCGCACUCCCCAGGGACCCGAUGACGUCACCGGUGAGGAUGACGUCACGCCCGGAGGUUUCCCUGGUAGGGUUUUCCCAGAUUCUAGAUCCAACCGCCACUGCCACGGAGCCCAGGUACCGCUGGGACCCAAAGCGAACCAGCAGGGGGCGUGCGAAGGCCAGACUCCAAACGCUGAGCCCUGGCGAGAGAUUUGACACCCGCAACCUCCGGGUGUAGGCCACCUCAGCUCGGAAAUGAUUUCAGAGGUCUGUGGAUACCCAAGCGCUGGAGUCUCGGCACGACUGCUGUGAGUCGGGUAAGGGCGUUCCACAUUCUCGAACCCCACAAGCUGCCCUCCUGACACUCCGCUUCAGUAUCCUGCCCUUGGGCCUCUGGGUCUUCCUUGCGCCAGACCAGACGGGCAGCUCCAACUGUCCCUGCAUGCCUUGGCCCUGCCUUUGUUUUGCCCCUGACCAGCUGUGAGGGCGUGGGCCAGGUUUUUCCUUUCCCCCAGUCGCCUCCGCCUGCAGGAUUCCAGCUUCUCCACCUCCUCCACAUACGCAACCCCUCGUGGCUCCUCCACUUCAUCACCAGGCUGCUGUCUGUCCCCGCCUCCCCCCCCACCAUUCCUUUCCAUCUCUGCAGAGAGGAAACGCAGAUGAGAUUUGCAAGCUCGUUCUUGGGCCCACGUGGUCCUGCACUCAGUCACUUGAGUCUGGCAUCUCUAGUUCCCACCUCUCCACAGCCAGGCCAAGAGGGGCAACCUGAGAGAGGUUUGUAGCAAGGAGUCCUACCUCUCCGUUGUGAAGAAUGGCAGGUCAUUCCACCCUCAGGGAACACAAAGGGGACCUCCUUGGAUGCUUUAUACUAGGCGCUUUAACAUACAACCCUUUGGGAUACACAGACAGGAUUGGAGGAGCAAGGGGUUUGUGCAGAUAGCAGAACCUAAUUUGAACCCAGGUUUGGCCACUAAACCUUACCCUGAGUGGGAUGGGGGAAUGGUGCGGCUUGAGCUACUUUAUGGGCCUCAUCUAGAACCCCCGGGACCUUCUUGCCCUUAGCACAUUGAAGGUAGGUGAAUUUACACUCAGUUUUGGGGCUCACAGUCAGUCUGAGCCCCAAGCUGGAAGGAUGCUAGGCCACCCCACUUUCUCCCCAGAUGGCUGUCUGACUCUGGGCCUGCCUUCAGCAUGUGUGACUUGGUGCCCGUGCCAGUCCCUUUCACCGGGCCUGUGUUCUGGAACAGACACCCGCAGGAACAAUAGUUCUGCCCACCCCCUUGACAACCCCGCCAUGAGGCUGCCAUGGCGACACAGCCCAGAUAAAACACGAUGCAGCCAGUCACUAGGAGUUAAUUAAAUCUGUUCUCCUUUUGCUGAGCCCUUAGGAACAGGAAUUUUCAGAGGAAAUUGGCAUUAACCAGAAGUCCCCCUUCUUGGUAGGCCAGAAGCAGCCAUGGAUCAGCAAGGCACUUAUGGGGCUGGGGGUAAUGGGGUUUAGCUGAAUUAGAAAUGCCUGUCAAGAGGCAGCUCCUAUGGCAUAUGUCUGUAGUCCCAAUUACUUAGGGAGCUAAGGCAGGAGGAUCAUUUCAGCCCAAGAGUUUGGAGAAAACCUAGGUAACAAUGAAAUCCCUGCCUCUAAAAAGCUUUUUAUUUUAGUACUAGGAAUUGAACUCACAACUUUGUGCAUGCCAGGCAGGUGCUUAUGCCACUGAGCUAUAUCCCCAGCCCAACUUUUUUUUUUUUUUUUUUUGUCUUUUUGAGACAGGGGCUCGCUACACAGUUCAGGCCGGCCUUGAGCUCACUUUAUAGCCCAGGCUAGUCUCAAACUUCCAACAGUCCUCCUGCCUUAGCCUCCAGAGUGUUGGGAUUACAGGCGUGAGCCACCACACCCAGCAUUCCAGCCCAACUUUUUAAAAAAAUAGUGUCAAGGACCAUUACUAAAUGUGCUUGUUCUUCCUUCCAUACAGAUUAUUUCUUGAAACAGGGUCUUGCUAUGUAAUUCAGGCCAGCCUUGAAGUAUGUAGCCUAGGCUGCUCUCAAACUUGUAGCAAUCCUCCUGCACCAGGAUUCCAAAUGCUGGGAUUACAGGCAUGUACCACCACACCCGGCCCAUCCAUUCAUUAUCCCAUAUGAUCAUCACCACCACCUAGUCACUGCCGGUCGUGCCAACUUGAUGGAUGAGGAGAAAGAAGGAAAUUACUCACCCCAGAUCAUAUACCUAAUAAGGAGAAGAGCUAAGAUAUAGCUGGCAUCUGAAUUUAAAUUCUAUGUCCACUUUCUCUGUGUGACAAAUGAGAUGUAUAUGAAAAGUCCAGCAUUUAUGAGCAUAUUCAUAAGGACUUGGCAGCUGUGUGGGAACUGGGCAGUAUGGCCAGCUAGUAGCCAAAAGUACGCAUUCCUGUUCUUCCACUAAGGCCCUGGAGUGCCUGACCACUGCUCACUGCUGCCUUGGACUAGCUCAGGCUGGGAAAAGGCUGUGCUGAAUGAAAGAAUGGCAGCUCCAGGCUUAACAAGGAACCAGGCAGGGUUUGUGGCCUGAGGAUGCCCAUUUUAGCAGGCUGAGCUUAGGCCAGACUGGCACAAGCCACACCCCAAAUCUACUUGGUGCCAUUGAUACCCCUCAGCUAAGAGGUAACUAUCACUGUCACAUUUUAUAGAUUGGUCAGAGAAAGGCGGCCUCUUGCAUGGGGUUUCAAGGCUGAGCAGGCUCUCUGACACCUAGCUUGAGGGGUAGAGAUUUCAUGCUAACCACUGUCUUAUUUCUGCUGUGGCUACCACAGCCCUGCAGGGCUACAGUCUGGCCUGAAGCUUCCUUCCUUGUUACUCAGAAUAUAAUAAUCUAUUCCACUACAGGUGUUUAGUAAUAUAGGCACUGAAAGAUUCUUUCAAAAUGCUCUACUGACCAGGCUAAACUUCUUGAUGCCUCCCCAUAAGGCUGUGCCCCUUUGCUGCUUCACACCUCUGGGUAUGUUCUUGCCCCUGUCUGGGGACCCCUCAGACUCACAGCCUCUUAGCUUGAAGCCAUUUGCCCAACCCCUCCAGAUGGCCAGGAGCAAACACCUGCCACAUGUCCAACUAUGCUAUUUGACAGCUGUGCCCUUCAGAUGGACUUACACAUAAGCCUACCAUCUUACUAUGUUUUGCUUCUAUUUUCUUUCAUUCUUGCAGGUCAUGUGAACAUUCCUUGGGAUUCCAUCUUGAUUUAUAUACUGUGUUUUUGAGCAUGACCGUGUAUAGUUUUUGGCCAUACUCACUGAGAACACAGUAGGGGAAUGAAAGCAAGACCCUGGAUGUUUUAUAACCUCCACGCUGCCUCAGUUUCCUCAUCAGUAUGCAUGGGCAAGGUUGAGCUAAUCUAUUGCAGAAGGCGCAGAAGUGAGCAACAGACCUUAGCUUUGAUGAUGGUCUGCCUGAGGGCUGAACACCACAAUGUCCUAGGAAGGAGUCUUUCCAUUUCACUGAUGAGAAUACUUGGCUCAAAGAGAUUAAGCAACAUCCAAGGGCCAUAGGUUUUGUAUUCUAGGGCCUAGCUGCAUUGCUGACUACACCUACUGCAUUGCUUCUCUGCAUAAAGAAUCCUGGCCCUUCAACUUUAGAUCCCAAAGACCUGCUACUAGGUUCUUUAUCUCAGCAAAGGGAUCAUCAUUUAUCCCACCUGCCAAAUCCUCAGUGCACAGUGUCUGCAUCUGUCUAUGUCCUUGGGUUGUCCCACCACUGGCCUUUGGUAGUCAGGCCACAUCCCAUCUCACAUAGAGUCCUACUAUCAUGGUUGUCACGUGCCAGACCUUUCACAGCCUUCCCACUCUCCAUGCUGCCCAUUUCCCCUAGGCCUUCUCCUGCCCAAACCCUCUAGUUCCUCAUGGCUGCAGAAGACAGUCCUGCCUUCCACAUGGUUCAGAUGGAUGCCUUUCAAAUUUUCGUAAGCACGCAAGUUAUAUGAAUGGCUUGUCAGGGCCAGGCCCUACUUUGGACUCCAGUGUUUGCUUCAGUAGGUCGGGGGGGGGGGGGGCGGGGAUUGCAUGUCUAACAAACUCCCAGCAGAUGGUGGACCAAGACCUAAAUUGUACCCUCUAGAAUGAGUCCCUGCCAAGGCCCCUUGCCUCCUUGCACAUUCCUGGAGAAGUCAUUCCUGAGCCACUUUACCUGCCCCGGGCUGGAUAAGAAUGAAACUCAGUGAUCUCAGACUGUUCAGAAAUGGCCUGUGUCCAACAGAGGCUGCCUCUGCCUUGAUCACCUGGCAUAUGGACUUGUUUGGUGCUAGCUAUGGGAUAGGGAAAACUUCAGGAGCUGGGUUGCCAUCCACAUCAUUCCUGGGAAAUGUCUGAAAUUUGCCACCAAGUCACUGAGCAAGAAGCCAUCACCCAGCAUUCCGCCCUCACAGCAAACUGGGAACUAUAUAUGUGGACAAAAGGAAAAAGACAACCUAGCAGCACAGACCAGGGACUUCGGGGGAAGGAAAUCCUAGGUUUCAGGUGCUGUGGUGACCCAGUGGAGUCCUGGAUCAAGGCUUGGGCUUGCUGGCACUCGGGUGAGGAGAAAGAGACUCAGACUCACAAAGACGAGGAAGGACACAGGAAAGUGUGGUGCGGUGUGAGGAUAGGGUGGAGGAGAGCUGAAGUUUCUUCACCUGUAGGACAAAGGAUGACGAGACCGGCCUGGCAGCGCCAAGGAAGGAGCAUGAUUGAUGAAGAUUGUGAUAACAUCCAAGGCCAACAUAGACAGCUGAAUGUGACUGACAAGACACCAGCACCGCGCAGCCGAGAGGCUCAACUGUGAAAACUGGCCCAUGGGAAUACACCGUAUGCAGUUGGGGUGGCCCACCAACACUACCCUCACCUUACCACAGACCAAAGGCCUCACUCCUGACUUUCAGCUUGAACACAGCUCAUGGAUACAUUUUGUUGGCCUACAGCCUGUUUUUAAAAUCUUCUGAAACCAUCUGAAAACCAGAUUUUAUGGAAAGGC